rnacentral:misc_RNA from 1 species
GUUGAAGAACGUAGCGAAAUGCGAUAAGUAAUGUGAAUUGCAGAAUUCAGUGAAUCAUCGAAUCUUUGAACGCACAUUGCGCCCGCCAGUAUUCUGGCGGGCAUGCCUGUUCGAGCAUCAUUACAACCCUCAGGCCCCCGGGCCUGGCGUUGGGGAUCGGCGGAAGCCCCCUGCGGGCACAACGCCGUCCCCCAAAUACAGUGGCGGUCCCGCCGCAGCUUCCAUUGCGUAGUAGCUAACACCUCGCAACUGGAGAGCGGCGCGGCCACGCCGUAAAACACCCAACUUCUGAAUGUUGACCUCGAAUCAGGUAGGAAUACCCGCUGAACUUAAGCAUAUCAAUAAGCGAGGA